ACCUCGAUUUUUCCCUCUCUGAACUCAUUUUUCCUCCCUCGUUAAUUUUCCCCGUUUCGCCCUUAUUCCUUUCUUCCUUUCUACUAAGCCUUCUUACGUCUUGCCUUUUCUCUCCCGUCGUUGAAGUCCUUGUAAAAUCACUGGCUUUCAUAUCCCCUCGUGUUUGCAAAAUCACUCUCAUUGUUUCCUCUGUCUGAGUUUUAGACAGACCUUCGUAGCAGCACCUUCUGUUUCAUUGCAGCAGUACCAAUCGAAGCCCUUUGAUUUAAGGGGCAUCUUCCUUCAAGCACAUCCUCCUGUGAAUUUCGAAUCAAAGAAACUUCAUUUGAUGCGGAUCCAUUCUGAACCACCCUCUUGCAAAGUGGUGGACAAGGGGAAUAUAGCAUCUCGUUCAAUAGCAUACAUGAUAACAUUGUGGUUCAACCAUCACAAGCCGAAGGUGAACAAAGGCCACACACUAAAAGAUCUCAACGAGACGUGUCUUUUACCACAUAAGAGGACAAUUUCAUUGUUUUAGUUUGGCUAAAUAUUAGCAUUGAUGCUAUUCGAGGGACUGACAAAAAAUCCACACAAAUGUAAAAAGACAUUUAUGAAUAUUAUAAUGAGUAUAAAAAACCAAACA